AGUGAACGCUGGCGGUAGGCCUAACACAUGCAAGUCGAACGGCAGCACAGUAAGAGCUUGCUCUUACGGGUGGCGAGUGGCGGACGGGUGAGGAAUACAUCGGAAUCUACUUUUUCGUGGGGGAUAACGUAGGGAAACUUACGCUAAUACCGCAUACGACCUACGGGUGAAAGCAGGGGAUCUUCGGACCUUGCGCGAUUGAAUGAGCCGAUGUCGGAUUAGCUAGUUGGCGGGGUAAAGGCCCACCAAGGCGACGAUCCGUAGCUGGUCUGAGAGGAUGAUCAGCCACACUGGAACGGAGACACGGUCCAGACUCCUACGGGAGGCAGCAGUGGGGGAAUAUUGGACAAUGGGCGCAAGCCUGAUCCAGCCAUACCGCGUGGGUGAAGAAGGCCUUCGGGUUGUAAAGCCCUUUUGUUGGGAAAGAAAAGCAGCAGGUUAAUACCCCGCUGUUCUGACGGUACCCAAAGAAUAAGCACCGGCUAACUUCGUG
rnacentral:rRNA from 1 species